GGCUUGACUUUCUCUACCUUUCUUAUCUCUUUGUCUUCCUUUACUAUCUUCCUAAGUCCUUGUCCUAAUUCAAACUUGUCCUUACUAUAUUUGGACUUGUCCUAACAAGGGAAGGAAGAAAGAAAUUGGACAAACUAGAGAUGAAUGUAAGAAAGAAGAGAUAGACUUCUGAAUACCAAAACACCGGAGACUCCAUGCUAUUUAUAAUUAGCUUGGAGAUGCCUAUCAACAGGUGUUAUCCAAUCCACAUGCCCC
rnacentral:lncRNA from 1 species